GGCAUUCUUUGGAAUUAUUGCACUCAUAUCAACAAGUUAUCGCCCCUUAGUUAUUCUAACUCUAAAUUAACUUAGCUUCAUAGUAAUGCCGCUCCUGCGCUGUGCCCCACCUGAGCGGCAUUUCUAUGAAACUAA